GGGGAGUGCCCCUCCGACGAGGCGUCGGCGCAGCGGCUGAUGCUCAAGGGGUGUCUUCGGCGUCGCCGCCAGGAAUCAGAUCGCCAUGAAUCCCAUCAACACUGUCUUCGGUGUUGCAUAUUGGUGACACAGAUCAAAAGCUGCAGAGAUGAUACGUCUGAAUUGAUGUCAAACCUGAUGGUUCCAGGAGAGUUAAGGACAGAGCUGAACUAAAGGACCUUACACAGUGGCAUCGACCAGAUGGUACUCUCUCAGUGUCCAGUAGUGUUCACCAUUUCGCUUGGGAAACAUCGGUUUCAGAAGAAUGAACCUGUUUUCCAUAUUCAGGCAGUGGUUCAUCAGACGAAAGCCUCCCCUACCGAUCACAACUCAUGGUUGUAUCAUGGUAUCACCAGAUCAAGCAACAAAAAUAUACAAGGCCAUGAAGGACAAGGGCCUUCCCGUUGAUUUGGUUGAGUGUGAAGGGGAACGACAUGGUUUCCUCAAGGCUCAGUGAUCCCUCCGUCGCCCUCAACUUCUCGCUCAAGGCGACUUCGUACUCUACUAGGCUACUCGACUACAAUGCAGUGUGAAGGCAAGUAUCAUCAGGGACGACAUGGUCCAAACUCCCAUCUCCAUCGGGAUUGAUGGAGAACAUAGUGGUGCCUACAUUGAAGGCAUUCUCCCUGCGUGCCUAUGACCCAAAAGUCGACAUAUUUAUAACAAUAUUACAUAUUUAUAAUAAUAUUACAUACUUUCCUUGUAUGAUAUUUACAGUGAUAUUUUAUCACACGGAUUUUGCAUA